ACAGAGAGCUUGCUCUCGGGUGACGAGCGGCGGACGGGUGAGUAAUGUCUGGGAAACUGCCUGAUGGAGGGGGAUAACUACUGGAAACGGUAGCUAAUACCGCAUAAUGUCGCAAGACCAAAGUGGGGGACCUUCGGGCCUCAUGCCAUCAGAUGUGCCCAGAUGGGAUUAGCUAGUAGGUGGGGUAACGGCUCACCUAGGCGACGAUCCCUAGCUGGUCUGAGAGGAUGACCAGCCACACUGGAACUGAGACACGGUCCAGACUCCUACGGGAGGCAGCAGUGGGGAAUAUUGCACAAUGGGCGCAAGCCUGAUGCAGCCAUGCCGCGUGUGUGAAGAAGGCCUUCGGGUUGUAAAGCACUUUCAGCGGGGAGGAAGGCGUUAAGGUUAAUAACCUUGGCGAUUGACGUUACCCGCAGAAGAAGCACCGGCUAACUCCGUGCCAGCAGCCGCGGUAAUACGGAGGGUGCAAGCGUUAAUCGGAAUUACUGGGCGUAAAGCGCACGCAGGCGGUCUGUCAAGUCGGAUGUGAAAUCCCCGGGCUCAACCUGGGAACUGCAUUCGAAACUGGCAGGCUAGAGUCUUGUAGAGGGGGGUAGAAUUCCAGGUGUAGCGGUGAAAUGCGUAGAGAUCUGGAGGAUACCGGUGGCGAAGCGGCCCCUGGACAAAGACUGACGCUCAGGUGCGAAAGCGUGGGGAGCAACAGGAUUAAUACCCUGGUAGUCCACGCCGUAAACGAUGUCGAUUUGGAGGUUGUGCCCUUGAGGCGUGCUUCCGGAGCUAAC
rnacentral:rRNA from 1 species